rnacentral:rRNA from 1 species
CCUACGGGGGGCAGCAGUGGGGGAUAUUGCACAUUGGGGGGAACCCUGAUGCCGCGACGCCGCGUGAGCGAAGAAGUACCUCGGUAUGUAAAGCUCUAUCAGCAGGGAAGCAAAUGACGGUCCCUGACUCAGAAGCCCCGGCUAAAUACGUGCCAGCAGCCGCGGUAAUACUUAUGGGGCAAGCGUUUACCGGAUUUACUGGGUGUAAAGGGAGCGCAGGGGGCGUGCCAAGUCUGGUGUGAAAACCCGGGGCCCAACCACGGGCCUGCAUUGGAAACUGGGGGCCUGGAGUGUCGGAGGGGCAGGCGGAAUUCGUGGUGUAGCGGUGAAAUGCGUAGAUAUUAGGAGGAACACCGAUGGCGAAGGCAGCCUGCUGGACGAUGACUGACGCUGAGGCUCGAAAGCGUGGGGAGCAAACAGGAUUAGAUACCCUUGUAGUC